rnacentral:rRNA from 1 species
CAAUAGCGUAUAUUUAAGUUGUUGCAGUUAAAAAGCUCGUAGUUGGAUUUCGGAUGGGACUUGCCGGUCCGUCGUUGCGAUGUGCACUGGCCAGUCCUAUCUUGUUGUCGGGGACUAGCUCUUGGUCUUCACUGGCCGGGACUAGGAGCUGACGAGGUUACUUUGAGUAAAUUAGAGUGUUCAAAGCAAGCCUACGCUCUGAAUACAUUAGCAUGGAAUAACACGAUAGGACUCUGGCUUAUCCUGUUGGUCUGUGAGACCAGAGUAAUGAUUAAGAGGGACAGUCGGGGACAUUCGUAUUUCAUUGUCAGAGGUGAAAUUCUUGGAUUUAUGAAAGACGAACUUCUGCGAAAGCGUUUGUCAAGGAUGUUUUCAUUAA